rnacentral:lncRNA from 1 species
CUUUCGGUCGUGGAUGACCCUAUUCUGAACUUCUUUCGGACUUCGUCAGCAUCCGAGCUUCUCCGAUAAUAAGAUUUCUACAGUAACCAGAACUCCAUCCAAGUUUCUACGACGGUCGACCGUCUUUCGGAUCCCAACCGAGCUCCCAUGAGAGCCAAACUUCUACUACGAGCGGUCUACUCCGAAUUCUUAUAGCGAACUGUCUACCCCAGAUAUCUACUG